rnacentral:rRNA from 1 species
UUGGAGGGCAAGUCUGGUGCCAGCAGCCACGGUAAUUCCAGCUCCAAUAGCGUAUAUUAAAGUUGUUGCAGUUAAAAAGCUCGUAGUUGAAUUUUGGGGUCAGCAGGUUGGUCGUGCCACUGGUAUGCACUGGUUUCGCUGAUUCCUCCUUUCUGAAGAACUGUAGUGUCAUUAAUUUGGUGUUGCAGGGAAACAGGACUGUUACUUUGAAAAAAUUAGAGUGUUUAAAGCAGGCUAACGCUUGAAUACAUUAGCAUGGAAUAAUGAAAUAGGACGUUUGAUCCUAUUUUGUUGGUUUCUAGGAUUGACGUAAUGAUUAAUAGGGAUAGUUGGGGGCAUUAGUAUUCAAUUGUCAGAGGUGAAAUUCUUGGAUUUAUUGAAGACUAACUACUGCGAAAGCACUUGCCAAGGAUGUUUUCAUUAAUCAAGAACGAAAGUUAGGGGAUCGAAGACGAUCAGAUACCGUCGUAGUCUUAACCAUAAACUAUGCCGACUAGGGAUCGGAUGAUGUUAAUUUUUUAAUGACUCAUUCGGCGCCUUACGGGAAAC